AACGAACGCUGGCGGCAGGCUUAACACAUGCAAGUCGAACGGGCGUAGCAAUACGUCAGUGGCAGACGGGUGAGUAACACGUGGGAACCUUCCUAGGGGUACGGAACAACUCAGGGAAACUUGAGCUAAUACCGUAUACGUCCGUGAGGAGAAAGAUUUAUCGCCCUUAGACGGGCCCGCGUCGGAUUAGCUAGUUGGUGGGGUAACGGCCUACCAAGGCGACGAUCCGUAGCUGAUCUUAGAGGAUGAUCAGCCACACUGGGACUGAGACACGGCCCAGACUCCUACGGGAGGCAGCAGUGGGGAAUCUUGGACAAUGGGCGAAAGCCUGAUCCAGCCAUGCCGCGUGAGUGAAGAAGGUCUUCGGAUUGUAAAGCUCUUUUACCAGGGACGAUAAUGACGGUACCUGGAGAAUAAGCCCCGGCAAACUUCGUGCCAGCCGCCGCGGUAACAC
rnacentral:rRNA from 1 species